ACGGGGUGCAGCAGGCGCGAAACCUCCUCAAUGCACUAACGUGCGAAGGGGUUACCUCGAGUGCCAUCUGAAAAAGGUGGCUUUUCCUUGGUCUAAAUAGCCUUGGGAAUAAGAGGGGGGCAAGACUGGUGUCAGCCGCCGCGGUAACACCAGCCCCUCGAGUGGUGGGGAUGAUUAUUUGGCCUAAAGCGUCCGUAGCCGGCCGGGUAAGUUUCCCGUUAAAUCCGACGUCUCAAGCGUUGGACCGCGGGAAAUACUGCCUGGCUAGAGAGUGGGAGAGGUAAGCGGUAUUCUGGGGGUAGGGGCGAAAUCCUUUGAUCCCCGGAGGACCACCAGUGGCGAAGGCGGUCUACCAGAACAUGUCCGACGGUGAGGGAUGAAAGCUGGGGGAGCAAACCGGAUUAGAUACCCGGGUAGUCCCAGCUGUAAACUAUGCAAACUCAGUGAUGCAUUGGCUUGAUGCCAAUGCAGUGCUGCAGGGAAGCCGUUAAGUUUGCCGCCUGGGAAGUACGUACGCAAGUAUGAAACUUAAAGGAAUUGGCGGGGGAGCAC
rnacentral:rRNA from 1 species